CAUUAAGAAGCUAUAUAUCAGCGCUAGCCUUUUAAGCUAGAGAAAGAGGGUUACCUAUCCCUCCUUAAUGG
rnacentral:tRNA from 1 species